rnacentral:lncRNA from 1 species
ACCAUCUUAUUAAGGAGCAAGCUGUUUCCCUCUGCCAAGCUCACGGCAAUUACCAUGGUCAAUGAGGCACUAGCCCCCAACUCCAGAAAUACCGAUGCUUAACCAGCUCAAAAUACUGAUACGGCAUUUUUUUUCAUAAGAUUUUCUCCCAAUCCCUCAAGUUGCUCCAUUCACUCAUAUUUCGCUCCCACCAUAAUGAGUGAGCACCAUCGAACCUUCUGCCUACCUCUAUCCCUUCC